rnacentral:misc_RNA from 1 species
AACCAUUCUCACCUGCGGCUAGACCUGCGGAAGGAUCAUUACCGAGUGCGGGCCCUCUGGGUCCAACCUCCCACCCGUGUCUAUCGUACCUUGUUGCUUCGGCGGGCCCGCCUGCUGGCCGCCGGGGGGCCUCCGCCCCCGGGCCCGCGCCCGCCGAAGACACCGCCGAACUCUGUCUGAAGAUUGCGGUCUGAGCGAUUCACGAAAUUAGUUAAAACUUUUAACAAUGGAUCUCAGAUC